AAACAAUUGGGACACACUUGCUGAAGCCACCGAAAGCUGCCUGAGCUCAGGGAUCUCACACAGCACCGAGUCCAGUAGCAAGAACAGAAGACAGUAAGUGACAAGCCUUACGAAGAGCAGUCCAAAAUUCCCUCCCAGGGAAUAAAUAUCACGUUUACCAGUGCUGUCAGCACCCAGUGCCCAGCUCCGGGCAGCAGCAGCAGCACACCUGCAGAGGACUUCCCACUGAAUUUCAUCUUAGUCCCUCCCUUUCUUUAGCUGAGCAAGGUUGCAGGCCCCAGAGGAUUUAUGAUCAUUAAGCCAUGAUCAUACAGAAGCUGAUUCAAACUCAGAGACACCUCUUCUUCCAUCUGCUUCCUCUGAGCAAUACAUUUCCAACCUGAACCUGACCUGAGAGAGAAAGAGAAAAGUGACACAAGGAAUAUCAGAACGGAAACUGAAAUUGCCCAGCAGAGAGGAAGAUAAUUUGUGUGAGAAUAAUCCUUUGUAUCUGAACCAAAAAGGCAGCUAGUCACCAGACAACUCACAGUGGGUCAGAGCCACAGCCUGGACUCAGAGCUGGACCAAAACCUCUCUCUUCCCCUCACCAACCAAAGUGAAGUUGCUGAUGUUUCUAAAUCCAGGGGAUCCCACUGGCAAUGGCCCUGAAUCAGUUCUGCAGUAGCGGUCAACCUGGGAGACCUCUCUCUGAAGUCAUGCACUCCUGCUGAAAUCAAGCAAUUAGGACUGGCUAAUGUGGAUUUUCCCUGCUCUCCCUUGCUUCCUCAUGAGAAGAGCCAGGUGCCAGUAAUAUCAUUCAGGAAAGCCAGCAGUCUGGGAAAGAUGAGAGGAGAAAGAACCUGACUGACAUAUAUGCCCUGAUGUGCUCCUCUUUUCCUUUACUUCAUCCAUAUUUCAUCCCUUCCUUCCUGCUCCUGCAUGCCUUCCUCACCCUCAAGCUACAUCACUGAACCUACCUCAAGGGUAUCCAUAGAUCUUACAUCAACAGGGCUUUCUGAUCAGCUGCAAAGCAUAUGUCAAGAUUUUCCCCCCCAGAUCCCUCUAUAGACUGCUUUGGUGCAGCUGAGCAGAAGACCAGGGCUGCGGGUAUCCAGCAAAGCAGUGCUGGUACAGCCAUAUGGUCACUGAUCUUUUCUGAGAAAGGGUCUUGUGGCUUAGCUGAGGCUGUGACAGGUUUCAGAUAUAGUCCUGCCCCUUCCUAGCAAACCUACCUUCAGAACAGCAAAUUGGCAGGCACACCAGGUUGGCUGGACCCCAGGCCUUCCUGGAUCCCUUCCCUGACUUCUCAUCAUGCAUGUUUUAAAUUACUGCUUAAAUCAAAGAUGUCAGUGAUUCAGGCCAAAGGGUUUUGCUGAGAGGUAAUCUCAUACUUUUUCCUCUGGCGUCCUUCCUUGUGCUGAUCCCAGCACCAAAGCCUCAGGGAUCACGAAGGGGCUGCCAUCCCAUGCUGCAUGGUCCACUUCCUUGGCUGACCAGAACAUUUCACACAACAUUUCCUGCCACAAGAAGGAUACAAGACAAAAAUUACACAUCAGAUUCCCCGUGUUGUUUGACACAUCCCAUCUGUUUGUUUGUUAUUCUGCAAGGGGUUGCGUUACACUUUCAGAGGCUUGGGAAGAGUUUGAGGUGGUUAUAUGCAACAAUGUGAAUGCUGUGGGGACUGUUCACAGAGAAAAUUCAAUUUUAUAGGGUUUUGGCUCCAGUAACCCAGCUAAACUGGUGUUUGCUUCCCUGGAGUGAGGUCACCUCCUGGUGAUGCAUCACUGCACAGGGAUAGAUGCACCCAUGCCCUACCAGUGGUCCCACACGUGAGCUAAAAGAGACUUUCAGAGCUGCUGCAGACCAGGAGUGUUAGAGAACAGCCCAGCUCCUCUGAACAGGGACUGUGGGACCUAAGACUGAGGGAGAAAGAAUCUAAUAGCUGCUGCCAAACUCUGCAGGAGAGGGGAAAUUCCUCGCUAAGCAUAGUGGAUAUUAAUGCAUACCCCAGCAAAGACAGCAUAUCCCACCAGGGGCACUACCUUUACCAUCAGUAAUAUUGGAACACAGAGCAACCUCUUCUGGUUUGGAAGGUGUUUCACUAUCUGCAGCACUGAAUUCCCCAGCACAGUGAAUUCCCGUCACUCUCCCCUCAUUUCUGGGUCACAUCAAUGCUGACAUCAAGAUGCCUCUGGUGGGAUGGCUGGCAUGGUGGAUUGGCAAUGCACUCUGGCCAGAUAAUGCUUGGACCUGGAACAAGUGAGAUCUAGGAGGUUAAUCAUGCUGUAGACUUGCCCCUAGGCUGACGGAUAAAGUUAAAUGUGUAAGUCAGAAACUUGCUUUGACAGAACUCUGCUUGCACUUCUGUAUUUACCCAUCUCUCCCAUGGCCUUC
ensembl:lncRNA